rnacentral:rRNA from 1 species
UACAGAGGAGCCAAGCGUUGUCCGGAUUGACUGGGCGUAAAGCGCACGCAGGCGGUGGUGCGCGUGGGGUGUGAAAUCUGGCCGCUUAACGGCCAGGCGCCAUCCCAUACGGCACGACUGGAGGGCUGCAGAGGUCGAUGGAAUUGCCGGUGUAGUGGUGAAAUGCGUAGAGAUCGGCAGGAACACCCAGGGGGAAACCAGUCGACUGGGCAGCAUCUGACGCUGAGGUGCGAGAGCGUGGGGAGCGAACCGG